rnacentral:rRNA from 1 species
UACGUAGGGUGCGAGCGUUAAUCGGAAUUACUGGGCGUAAAGCGUGCGCAGGCGGUGAUGUAAGACAGAUGUGAAAUCCCCGGGCUCAACCUGGGAACUGCAUUUGUGACUGCAUCGCUGGAGUGCGGCAGAGGGGGAUGGAAUUCCGCGUGUAGCAGUGAAAUGCGUAGAUAUGCGGAGGAACACCGAUGGCGAAGGCAAUCCCCUGGGCCUGCACUGACGCUCAUGCACGAAGCGUGGGAGCAAACAGG